UAUUUUCUUUGUUGUUAAAUUUUACUUAGGACAAAGCUAUUUUGGGUUAUGUCUUAGAAUUUUUCUUUAGUAGUUUUCUUGUGUAGUUUUCAUUGGUUUAUUAUUUUGUGUUCUUUGUGAAUUGCAUUUUUUUUGAUUUUGUUUGUGAGUGUUAAAAAUUGCUUUCUAGUAUGUUUGCUUAUGCGAAUACUAUGUUUUACUAUAUAGAUUUUCAUCGGAGAGUUGUGUAUAGUGCUAUCAAGUUUUGCGAGAGCGAUAUUAUCUUCAUCAAGUAAUACCAGGCAAGUUCACUUUGACCAUGUUUUUCAUACCUAUGUUUUAUUUGCAUGUAGUAGCACAUUUUCAAUAAUCCCGCCAAUAGUGAUAUUGAUUUCUUGUAGUUGAGUAGAAUGCAUGAGGUAGGAACCCAUCUACCUGUUAUCAAGUCCGGGACGUUAUAUAGUUUUAGUGCUACGCUAUAGUAGACGGGGUUUGGUAUGAGUGCAUGAAAGUGGUGUGAAGAAGGAGGACUCUACGUCAAUGGAGACAACUUCAUGAUGGCACCGGCAAGGACUGCAUCUUCUGGACUCCUCAAGAUUUCGAGACUCGAGACAAGAAUUCAAUACACACUACUGGGUGAAGGACGGUUGACGGGCACCCUGGAGAAACCAGUGGUUGGCUAGGAUGCAUGGAGAAGCGCCAUGACAUCUUGCGGAAAGCUUCACCCAGACUCAAAGGGACGGAAGAAUACUUCAUGCCCGGAAGCUUACCUGUGCAAUCGCAAGUCACUAUCGGCUCUGGCUUGGUUGACCUUAGUGGUGACUCUGGCUGGGACGGUGCUAGCAGAUGUAGAACUACGGUAGGAUUGGAUGAGCACCGGAAGUGGUCAGAGGAACUCUUCGGAAGACCAUGUUUCGGUCAUCUUAUUCUCAAACACCCUGAAGUGCGAGAAUGUAAAGAGAGGGAUCGAAUCUUGCGGGUAAAGUGUACAAACCUUUGCAGAGGGUUAAAACCUAAUCGAUUAGCCGUGUCCCCGGUUACGGACAAUUUGAGCCUCUAGACUUGGAUCUAUCUCGGAACUCUCAACAUCGGACUGAUAAAUUAAUUGUGGACAACUUAUGAUGAUUUGGGCUAUGAGACAUCGGUUGGCGGAACCAUGUCAUGAUAGAAAACUCUGUAGUAAAGACCCCGGAUAAUUCCUUUGAUGUAGGGAAAAUAAAACCAGCUUUUAUGCAAACAAAACUCAGAUACAGAGCCACAAAGCCAUAUUGCAUAUAGUAUAGUUUAUCAUCUGUUUUUCUUACAGUGAUCUUGCCGGUACAUUCAAUGUAUUGACCUACACGGCUGCAACGUCUCAUGUUGCAGAUAUGUUUCUUCCGACAAGUAAGAGUUACAUCAUAGGUUACAGUCUACACUCAACCUGCCGAUGGCGUUGAUGGGACUCCACAUCCGAUUGUUUGUUUCCGCUAAGACUUAUGAGGUAUAUAUCAGUUUUAUGUUAUUUAUACAUGUGAUUGCACUUUGAUAUAUACAUUGAUGUACUGUGUGUGCCAGCAUACCGAUCCAAGGAUGGCACAGAUACACAGAGGCUUGACCGUCUGAGGUCGGGUCGCUACAGACAUGGUAUCAGAGCACAUGUUGACUAUAGGACGUGACCCUAGAAAUCAGAAAGCCCUAGGACAGGAAAUCUCUAAAACUUUAUUUUCAAAAGAAUCUAUUACUUCUCAUCUUUUCUGAUUUUAUCAAAUAACCUCUCUUACUUCAAAUAGUUAGAAUAUACCCCUUUCCCUUUUGACCACACGGAGGAUCAACUAAAGCCGCUCCAAGAAGGACAAGAUAUCGGACAACCGAUGACCAUUUCGGAGUAAAGAGGAUCUCACCAUGCAUUAGAAGAGUUAAAGCUACAAUAGUUGAAGACUCCGAAGACUUGAAGAAUCUGAUGAAUUAUUUGACCUUUAGAAGACCAAACCCAUGUUAUAUACUUACGUUAGAUGCGGCGAUUUGUGAGCUGUCAUUUGUUUGAUGUUUUUCCGACAGCCACAAAAUAAAACUCAUUUCUUCAAAAUUAUUGUUUGUAUUGUGUAUAUUCCUCCCCACCUCUCUUAUCUCACCCUAAAACCCUUGGACCCAGUAGAUGAUGAAUGAAGUUGGACUGGUAUUCUCUGGACCGAAAACCCAGCCGGAGGCAGAGCUAUGGAUUCAGAACAUGGAGAAUCACUUCGGGAGCAAUUUGGUUUCAAGGAAGAAUGAAGUAUCGUAUGCUCUUCAGUACUUUGAAGGAAGUGCUGCAACAUGGUGGCAUAUGCAUCAAGCUAUACAGGGAUGGAAUGGAGCAAGGACUUGGGAAGAAUUCAAGAAGACUCUAACAAGAUCACGUCUUAUCCGGAAGCACCAUGAUACCCCAAGAAAUAAACCUUCUGCCUACAAGAUUUGCGGAGAAAUAGGACACACCCAGGAGGAACACAAGGAUGGAUGCCCUCAUUGUGAGGAGAAACACCCAGCUAAAGAAUGCCCAACUUGUCAGGUGACUUGUUUCUUGUGUGAAGGAACCACCCACUACCCAGCUCAGUGUCACAUUUACCCCACGGUGCAACAAACUAUUCAGAAGCAGGAAGAAGGAAUGAAAGAAGCCCUCCGAGAAGUUAUGAAAGAACCUGUGAUUAAGGAAAGUGUUGAAGACCCUGAUGGAGAAAACCUCAACAGAUUUUACUCCAAUGCAUGUUAUUCAUGUGGAGAAGAAGGACAUUUUUCACAGUAUUGCACCAAGGAAAGAAAAGAGUAUCUGGGAUACUUCCCGACAGAAGCAGUGGAGUUUGAUCCACAGGGAAUAGAACGUUUGAUCAGAACAAAGAAAACCAGGAAGAGAAAACAAAGACACCCUCAGAACAACCCAAUUUCUGCAAAGAGGGACAAGAGUCAUAUUACCUAUUUUGAAUGUAAGGACGUCGGGCAUUAUGCCAAUGAUUGUCUCGAAAGGAAGCAAGGAACUCAAGGAGAAGGCACCAUCACCAAGAAGCCUCGAGACAUGCCAGAAGUUAUUUGUUUUCGCUGCAAGGAAGCAGGACAUUUUGCUAGGGAUUGUACAAAUCAUGAGAAAGCUGGAGCUGAGUAGUGGAGAUGUUGAUAUCAGUAAUAAGGGUAGUAAGGAAAACACUUUUUCAUGAGAAUGCAGGGUUGAGUUAUGUAAUAGAUUACUCAGAUAUUGUAAAAAUUCAUGACUCAAUAAAGUUGAUAUGUCAUAUGCUGAAAGGCUUUAAGGAGUUGUUAUGUUUUAUCAUGGAAAUUAAUAUUCUGGGUGAACAUGGAAGAAAAUGAGUUGUGAUGCAUAAACUGGAUGUUGGAAAUUGAGUUUGAAGUUCUGUUUGGAUGAUAUGAAUGUGUACCCAAGGAGAUAUGUACCUUAUUCUGAGCACCAUUUUUGUUUUACAACUGCAGAUGACGACCCUUUAUGAGUCUUUCCUUAAAGGUCCGGAAACGAUCAUGACCCUGACAAGUGAUCAUGAUUACCCGAAGAUACUGAAGGACAUGAUGAAGCAUAUUCACCUUGAAGGAGAUGCAGUCUACAAAGGCUACCCCUUCAUGCAAAAGGGAGUGGAACUUUGGUAUGUGAAGGUACACCUCCACCGUAUGAAAGGAGUUUGCCCAAAGAUGAUGGGGCAGUACUUUUUCAUCUCACGUGUACCACAAGCAACUUUCUUCGACGCUGUUCGUGAAGCAGCCAUGGAAGCCAUACGCCAGAUCGGAGAAAUACUUGAAGCAAGACUCCGUUAUACUCAGGAAUACCUAAGAGAAGUGCAUGCAGAGAUGAUGGAAAUGAAGCUCAAGGCCACCACGAUGAAACAGAAGAUUGAAGAUUUCAAGGCGCAUGUCGCACAAUUCCAGUGGGACUGGAGAAUCCUCAAGGAGGAAAAAUGAAUAAAGUAGGAAGUAAUGCCUGACCAUACCAAACCAUGUGGGUGGCAGCAUUUGUAACAAAGUACUUUUUUGGAAUUUGGAUUUACAAAAAAUGGUUAAGGAUGUAAUAAAAGAUUUGAUAUGAAAAUAAUAUGAUUUAUGGAUAAACUAGUGCAUUUUUUGGUGUGGUAGUACUCCGUAAAGCCACAAGAUCAAUGAAGAAAGAAAUGUGUUAUUCAUGACAGUCCAUAGAAGGGAGCGGGACCAAAUAAGUUGGAGUUUUGUAUGAUCGUCACCACAAGGGUAUGAAGGAAGAAGUACUAUUGGAUUUAAAGGAGAUGUAAUGUUGGAAUACGGAAUGAUAAUCCUCGAAAGGAUGAGUUAAAUUUUACAAGAGUUGAAGUGGGCCAUAACCCACAGGCCCCGGAGUUAAUAAGAAGCAAGCACACUCUUGCUGAAGGAAGAUAUUUUGGAAGAAAACUCUGAGUUAAUCAACCGACAUUUUUAGGAGGAUACGAAAACCCUAGAGAUGUGAAGAACCGUUAGAUGUCUUGUUCAGCUUGCAGAAACAAUGGAUUUAUUCGAACUCAGUUCGUCCACGAGAGAAAUUCUGCAAUGCUUGUGAGUAUGCCCAAGUGUUAGAAUACGUGAUUCGAUGUCUACAUAUGUAGUAAUGGUUCAAGUACCGGAUGGAUUGGCUCCCAUACCGGAGACUUCUAUCAUGAACUAUCAUAUGUUGAUGGAAAAUCAGAGAGCCUUGAAAACCUUAGAAGAGGGCCGACACGUCAAGCCAUAAAACCAUAGAAUGGUAGGAUGAUUGAUCCAUGUAUCAUGCACCCGUUUCCAAUCGUAGGAUAGACGGUGAGAUUCAACCAAACCCAUUUUUCUGCAGGAGAAACCAUACAUGGUUGACCACCAUGAGAAUUUCGAUAGUUAUUUAGUAUUGGCGACAGACCAGUCAGCUAAGAAGACCCAGACUCGGAAGAACGUCACCAGGAUGAAAGGACACGUGUUUGAGGAAAAGGUUAUGCCCCGACCGGAACAACACCCGUGAAAGAGCUAUUCCGGAGUAUAUGAGAACACCGACACCAGCAACCCAAAAGGAUGGAGUACAUGAGUUUUGUCUGAACCAUACCCAUGCUUUUAAGUGUGGUAGCACACUAGACCCUUCCGACCAAAAUAUUUGCUAGAAGACCCCCCAACCCCUAACCUUUUCUUGCUAGCCUCUUCGAAUCUCGAGAACGAGAUUCAUUUUAAGUGUGGUAGGUUUGUAACAUCCCAAAAUUCUAAAUUUUGGAGUGUUAUAUUAAAUAAAUCACUUUGAUUAUUUGUUUGAUUGUGAGUGGUUGAUUGUGUGAAGUUGAGUGAAAUUGGAAACUUUUUGAAAGUUGAAUGAGAGGGAAUGAAAUGACUUCCCAAACUUUCAUCCUUGCAUUUGAUCUCAAUAAAAUUCAAAUUUAUUUCAUCACCACAACCCUAGAGUGAAGAAAACAUGACUUCUUCCAGAAACAAAAAGGGUUUCGAAAGAUUUUUGAAUUUCAUUUUGAAGGUAUUUCAAAUUUAUAAACUUUAUGCAACUCAAUGAUUUUCAUGAGAGAAGAUAAAAUGACUUCUUCAAAACAUAUGAAAUAUGAGUUGGAAGUAUGAAGAAAGGUUUGUAGAUGGUUUGAUUUUUUUUGGAGUUAUUUGGUUUUAUUUCAAAUUAUUUUCUCCAAAAUUAAAAUAUAUAGAAAAUAGGGUAAAAUGAUUCCCUACAUUAGAAAAAUGGAGAAAAUUAAGUUUGAAAUAAUUUUGGUAUUUUAAAGUAGUUUUAUUUUGAAUUUUAAUUGCAUUAGAAGUACUUUUUUAUUUAUUAGAAUUUUUGUGUAUUUUAUUUCACUUUGUAAAAAUGUUCAUGUUGUAGGAUUUAUUUUUGCGGUCAUUUUGAUAUAUUAUAUGCCUAUAUACAUUUAUUAUUUAGUUUGUUUAUUUCUUUCUUUUUGUUCUGUGUUUAAAAAGAAUAGGAAAAACCUUUUUUUUAAAUGACUGAAGACCCCAGGCCCAGCUACCUCUCUCUCUCCCGCGGCCCACCAGACGGGCCGGCCCAGCCGCGCGCAACCACGACCGAAUCCUGCAGGAUUCGCCCGCCCAGAAGACGGAAUGAUUGCUCGGUAUGAUAUAGAUUCUUAGCCAGGGGUUUGGUAGCUUAUGCCCCCUAGUUUGCAACGUAGAGCAGAAAUGGUUGAAACGGCUCCCAUUGUGUGUGGGAAUUCUUUCAAAUGUGCAGAUCCCUCUUUCCUUUCCCCUCCUCUCUCUGUGCGUGGGACCCACCGACCUCUCGCGCGUCUCGCGCGAUCACCUUCCUCCUCCCCGCGCCCCUUUCCUUCUCGCCGGCGACCGGAUCCGCCGUUGCUCCCCUUUCCUUCUGGAGCUUCCCUCUUCUCCAAGCACCCUCCCCUCUAUAAAUACCCCUCUCCUCUCCGUUUCGCCCCUAAAGACGCCCCGAACCUCUCUCCCUCGCCGCCUAUUGCUCGCCGGAGCUCCGCCUCCGCCACCGCGCCAUUGUCGCCCUAGCCACUCCCUCCGUCUUCCCCGAGCCGCACCACCUCCACCAAUCGCCUCGACCCCGUCCACCGCACCUCCCCGAGGACUCGCCCGAGCUCCUACGCCCAUGGAACACCACCGCCGCCGACCACCCGAACAUCACCGCCGCCCCGAGCUCGCCGCCGUCCUCCUCCGACGUCCCCGAGCUCCACCGAGGCCACAACCGUGAUCGCCUUCGUCCGCUGCAUCCUCCCGACGAGUUCACCGAGCUCACCGAUGACCGGAGCGCCGUCCCCGUCGACCACCGAAGCCGGAGCACCUCGCCGGAGUUCAUCGCCGCCGCAGUGAGCUUCUCCUCCCUCCGAUCCUUUUUCAAUGGCUUAGAUUAGAUCUCUGUAUGGUUAGGUUUUAUUUUAUUAGAUCGGAUUUUAGUGCGGUUUAUUUACGGUUAGUUCGGUUUAUAUCUAAACCGGUUCACUGGUUUUCCUUUAUUCGUACGCGCGUUAACGGUUUAGUUAUAUAUCGCCCGAGCGUGGUUUAGCGUUGGAUCGCCCACUGCUUAGGCCCAAUAGCAGCCCGACGCGUAGUACCUGCCAUUUUUUUUAGUUUAUUUUCGUUUCUGUUUAAAAACAGAAAUAGUUUCAAUUUUAGAUUGCAUAUAUCUUUUAGUGUCUUUAUCCAAAUUGAGUGAUUCUUUUUGCAUUAGAUUCAAAAUUUCUUGAAGUUUUUGUUUGUGUCCUUAGAUAUAAAGUUUGAGUAGUUUAAAUUUUGAGUUUGAUGAAAUUUGUUCAAAUCACUAAUUUGGCCGUAUCUUGAGUUUUAUAAAAUAUUUUUGAUUGAUUCUUUUUGCUACGGUUUUGUUAUUGAUUUGUCUAUCCAGAGUAAUAUAGUGAUUUAUUUUUAGUUUAUUUUAAAUUAAGUUUUUAGCAAAACAGUAUUGUUUUAGUUAUAGUUUUGUUUUAGUCUUUUCUUUAUUGUUUUUAUUAGUUUUAAAUUAUUUCUUUUUGUCACUCUUGAAAAAUUUAGUUUUGUUUCUGUUAGUCAACAAAAGAAAAUUUCGUUUUUAUUUUUAAAACUUAUUUUACUUAGUUUUGUAUGAAAACUUGUUUAGGUCAUAGUUAGUGUUUCAUAAAAGCUUUUUAUUUGUUUCUUUUUUCUAUUAAAAGUUUAUGAAAAUACUUUCUGUUAAAAUUAGUUGUUUUAUAUUUUCUUUUCUGUUUAUUUAUUAUAUCAGUAUUUUCUUUGUUAUUAAAUUUUACUUAGGACAAAGCUAUUUGGGGUUAUGUCUUAGAAUUUUUCUUUAGUAGUUUUCUUGUGUAGUUUUCAUUGGUUUAUUAUUUUGUGUUCUUUGUGAAUUGCAUUUUAUUUUUUGAUUUUGUUUGUGAGUGUUAGAAAUUGCUUGCUAGUAUGUUUGCUUAUGCGAAUACUAUGUUUUACUAUAUAGAUUUUCAUCGGAGAGUUGUGUAUAGUGCUAUCAAGUUUUGCGAGAGCGAUAUUAUCUUCGUCAAGUAAUACGAGGCAAGUUCACUUUGACCAUGUUUUUCAUACCUAUGUUUUAUUUGCAUGUAGUAGCACCUUUUCAAUAAUCCCGCCAGUAGUGAUAUUGAUUUCUUGUAGUUGAGUAGAAUGCAUGAGGUAGGAACCCAUCUCCCUGUUAUCAAGCCCGG
rnacentral:lncRNA from 1 species